rnacentral:rRNA from 1 species
CCUACGGGAGGCAGCAGUGAGGAAUAUUGGUCAAUGGCCGGAAGGCUGAACCAGCCAAGCCGCGUGAAGGACGAAGGUGCCAAGCAUUGUAAACUUCUUUUGUCAAGGGACAAAAUCAGGCUCGAGAGCCUGACCGAGGGUACCUGAAGAAAAAGCAUCGGCUAACUCCGUGCCAGCAGCCGCGGUAAUACGGAGGAUGCGAGCGUUAUCCGGAUUUAUUGGGUUUAAAGGGUGCGUAGGCGGACUGUUAAGUCAGCGGUAAAAGGCCGGGGCUCAACCCGGGCCGGCCGUUGAAACUGGCGGUCUUGAGAGGGCGAGAGGUAUGCGGAAUGCGCAGUGUAGCGGUGAAAUGCUUAGAUAUUGCGCAGAACUCCGAUUGCGAAGGCAGCAUACCGGCGGCGGUCUGACGCUGAGGCACGAAAGCGUGGGUAUCGAACAGGAUUAGAUACCCUAGUAGUC